AUCGAUGAUGAGUCCCAAAUAGGACGAAAUGCGCGUUAUCCUGGAU
rfam:Trichobilharzia regenti genome assembly, scaffold: TRE_scaffold0001040